rnacentral:rRNA from 1 species
AUUCCAGCUCCAAUAGCGUAUGCUAAUUUUGUUGCGGUUAAAAAGCUCGUAGUUGAAUCUCGGCAGGCAGGGCUCGGUUCGAUUUUCGUCGCUACUGAGCCAUUUGCCUGUGACAGUUUGACGGAGGUUCUUGGGUGCUCUUAACCGAGUGUCCUGGGGCGCCGUCAGGUUUACUUUGAAAAAAUUAGAGUGCUCAAAGCAGGCCUUACCCGCUUGAAUAUUCGUGCAUGGAAUAAUGGAAUAGGACGUCGUUUCUAUUUUGUUGGUUUUCGGAAAUCGACGUAAUGAUAAAUAGGGACAGUCGGGGGCAUUAGUAUUCAGACGACAGAGGUGAAAUUCUUGGACCGUCUGAAGACUAACUACUGCGAGAGCAUUUGCCAAGAAUGUUUUCAUCAAUCAAGAACGAAAGUUAGAGGUUCGAAGGCGAUCAGAUACCGCCCUAGUUCUAACCAUAAACGAUGCCAGCUAGCGAUCCGCAGCUGUUUGUUUUUUAGGCUCUGCGGGAAGCUUCCGGGAAACCAAAGCUUUUGGGUUCCGGGGGAAGUAUGGUUGCAAAGCUGAAACUUAAAGGAAUUGACGGAAGGGCACCACCAGGAGUGGAGCCUGCGGCUUAAUUUGACUCAACACGGGAAAUCUCACCAGGCCCGGACACUGGAAGGAUUGACAGAUUGAGAGCUC